rnacentral:rRNA from 1 species
GACGAACGCUGGCGGCGUGCCUAAUACAUGCAAGUCGAACGCCGUUGCGCACGGGUGAGUAACGCGUAGGUAACUGCCUCAUAGCGGGGGAUAACUAUUGGAAACGAUAGCUAAUACCGCCUUCUGUGAGAUGGACCUGCGUUGUGUUAGGUAGUUGGUGAGGUAAAGGCCCACCAAGGGGAAGAUACAUAGCCGGCCUGGGAGGGUGAUCGGCCAACAUGGGACUGGGGCACGGCCCAAACUCCUACGGGAGGCAGCAGGAGGGAAUCUUUGGAAAUGGACGGAAGUCUGACCGAGCAACGCCGCGGGGGUGGAGAAGGGUUUCGGGUCGUAAAGCUCUGUUGUGAGAGAAGCGGUAACUAAACAGAAAGGGACGGCUAACUACGUGCCAGCAGCCGCGGUAAUAC